rnacentral:rRNA from 1 species
UACGUAGGUGGCAAGCGUUGUCCGGAUUUACUGGGCGUAAAGGGCUCGUAGGCGGCCAACUAAGUCGGACGUGAAAUCCCCAGGCUCAACCUGGGAACUGCGUCUGAUACUGGAUGGCUUGAGUUUGGGAGAGGGAUGCGGAAUUCCAGGUGUAGCGGUGAAAUGCGUAGAGAUGUGGAGGAACACCGAUGGCGAAGGCAGCCCCCUGGGCUAACACUGACGCUCAUGCACGAAAGCGUGGGGAGCAAACAGG